GGUACCUAUCAGUGCUACUAUUUUUUUUUGAAUGCCUAGGCUUCAGUUUAAAACAUGGAAGGAUUUGGCAGUAGACGAGGUACUUGCGUAGAGAGAGGUACAGGGAGGGAGAAGAGGGUGUCGUGCUUCUGCUGCUUGCUCCUUGCCAUUGCCACGAUGCCUUUUGCAGCCUGUUUCUGUGAGAGGCAUACUACUGUUGCGAACGCUGAGAGGCAUGUGAGAGAUUUAGAGGAUCGAGGGAGGCUGGGAGAUGGAGUGCUGCAAGCUGAUGUCCUACUUGUUUUCUGAACAGCGGUCUGGUAGUGUGGAAAUUAAAUAGUAAGGCGCAUUUGGAAGAAAAAAAUUCUUAUAACUUGAUUUACAUGGGCAUCUUUGGUAAUGGUACUCUCUGCAUAUGUCAAGAACUCUUAGGAAUUUAUCAUGCGUCAUCAUCUAGCAAUGUCUCAUAGCGUCUUGCUUACAGGGCAAUAAUCCAUUUAAUAAUCGAAGGUCCUACGUCCUAGGUGAACUUCUUUACUGUUCUACUUUUUUUUUCUUUUCUAUGGUAGGUCAGUAACCUUCUCCUAUUUGUAGUGAACCCAUUUCAUUUCUACUUGUCGUCAAUCAUCUCCUCUUCACCACAACGAUGCCCCACCUUUUUUUUCAAAUUCUCUGCCAUUUCUAGAAGCAGUUGAAGGGGAUCUCUGUAAUGACUCAAGAGGUACAACUGAAAUUCUAUGGUCAGGUGAUUAAUUAAUAACUAUAGUAAGCAUCAGUUUCUCCUUUUUCAUGUUGAAAAUCCACUGAUGAAUUAUUAUUUGAGUGUAAUAAUUCUCACACUUUUGAUUUCUUAGUGUGGUGUCAGAAGACAAGGGAUCUGCAAUUGGGAGCAUUGCUCUACUUAAAUAGUUUAAGUUUAGUCUUAGGCUUGAUGUUUGUGGUACAAAUUUUUGGAUAUAAAUAGAUUUUCUAUGUAAUCCACACAGUACUGAUGACAACAAUCUAGGCAAUGGUAAAUUAUAAGCAACAUACAUCAUCAUGUAACAUUACUUUGAAAGGUUAGUAUUAGGGCAUGAUUAAUAGGAGCACAUUGCUGAUGUAUUCAAUUCUCUGACAUGUUUUUAUCGGUAUCUCCUGCAGUGCAGCUACAAUAGUUUGUUGUAGAAAAUAUGUGUUACAGGAAUAUUAGAUUGUCGGUUAAAGGAGAUAGUUGUGCAGUUUAAUGUUUUGUCUUUGUCUUUGUCUUUGUUUUGUUUUGCUUUGCUUUGCUUUGCUCUUUCUCUCUCUUUUUUUUUUUACUUUUUUUGCCGGAUCUGGAUGUAAACCUCACGCCAUCUUGGUUCUAUCCUUCUAAUAAAAUAUUGUGCAUUUAGAUGUUUGUUGGGGAAAUAAAGGAGAUAAGCUAACAGCUACAAGUCAGUAGUUGUCAGACUCAUUUCAGGCUGAAGUUGCUUCAAAGAUCGAUAAAACAUGCAGUACGCUCGCUGCAUCCAUAGACUAGCAAAACGAAGCACUAAGGCUGUGGGAGAAUCUAUGUCAAUCUUGUGUUGAUUCCCAUGGCAUUAUACAUACUAAUUAACACAUAGGUCUGCCUGUAUAAAUUUACACAAUAUGUGGCUACAUGCUCUAGGUUAUUCACUUAGCUUAACAUUUCAAGGCUACAUUGGAGAUAAAGAAGAUUUUAGCUUUGAAGUCGUUAUAGACGCCUCGCAACUUCGCAAGGAAUCAUUGCAUAAUGGCAUGCUCCUACAUAAAGAACAAAUUGUGCAUUGGAUGAUAUAGCAUACUGUCAUAUGUCAUAGUUAUGAAGAUGCAAGUAAUCUGCGUUCUUUUCCAACCAAAACAAAUUUGUACUCAUUGCCUUUGUGCAUAUGGAUUGUUCAAUUAACGCCAUGGCUAGCCAUCUUGUGUUCAAGAGGAAGCACAAACGAUAUGUACGGAUAUCCAGUAUUUGUUAGCUGGCCAUCAAACCAAAUUGCACUUUAGUAUGAAAUUUUCAUUUUCAGUAUAUCUUUGCUAUGACCAGCUCUUUUAUUAGACUUUGCAACAUUUAUCCUUCAGAGUUUCUGCAUUAGCUUUAUCCAUAAGCUUCAUGUGAAAAGCCUUGAAGGUUUAGAAGUCUUACAAGUUGAUUCACCCAUCUUUACCUUUAAACUAUAAGUCAAGUUGGCUGGCUGUGAGCUUACGGCCUCUGCUGCAGUUCUUUUCGCUGUUGUGUGGGCCUCCAUAUCAGUUUAGAGUUGCCCUUCACUACCAGAUUUUCCUCUGCUUCAGCUAACGUUUGCAUGAAUCAGGCAGGUGCCAAAGAAGGUGGCUGCGUAAAUGUGGGGUUGGGUAGUCAAUCUUCUCUCCGAUCUGGCUAGGGCACUAGGUCUCCUACCACGAGGGCCAUCGGCAAGCGGGGAAUCCACCCCUUAAACAGCGGAGCCAGGAUUUGGUCAUGGUUUUAGUGGCUCCACAUCGUCCAAGGUUCUGGUUAUACCUAGACCGACAACUUUCCUAGAAUGAAUGAACGGCUAGCAUUUGGCGCAUGAGAAGAUCUGAAGACUGGAUGUGUAUAGUAAUGCCCGCCUGAAAACUUGGCCCGUGAAAAUCAAGCAGUAUAUCCAUGAUAGGAUGUACUACGGGAGGGUAGAGUUUGUACAGAAUUUUAGAUUCUUUAUAGAUAUAUGCAACCAUUCUACUAUCAGAAGUGAGAAUAAUAUUUGCACUUAGGUAUGGCCUCUAAUAUAACAUACCUACUACUAA